UACGUAGGGUGCAAGCGUUGUCCGGAAUUAUUGGGCGUAAAGAGCUCGUAGGCGGUCUGUCGCGUCGGCUGUGAAAACUCGGGGCUCAACUCCGAGCCUGCAGUCGAUACGGGCAGACUAGAGUUCGGUAGGGGAGACUGGAAUUCCUGGUGUAGCGGUGAAAUGCGCAGAUAUCAGGAGGAACACCGGUGGCGAAGGCGGGUCUCUGGGCCGAUACUGACGCUGAGGAGCGAAAGCGUGGGGAGCGAACAGG
rnacentral:rRNA from 1 species